rnacentral:rRNA from 1 species
GACGAACGCUGGCGGCGUGCUUAACACAUGCAAGUCGAACGGAAAGGCCUGCUUUCCCUUGUGGAUUGCGGGUACUCGAGUGGCGAACGGGUGAGUAACACGUGAGUGAUCUGCCCCCAACUUGGGUAUAAGCCUGGGAAACUGGGUCUAAUUCCCGAUAGGACUGCAGGGUGGUGCCUGUGGUGGAAAACGAUUUUCUAGUGGUUGGGGAUGAGCUCGCGGCCUAUCAGCUUGUUGGUGGGGUAAUGGCCUACCAAGGCGGCGACGGGUAGCCGGCCUGAGAGGGUGGACGGCCACAUCGGGACUGAGAUACGGCCCAGACUCCUACGGGAGGCAGCAGUGGGGAAUAUUGCACAAUGGGCGGAAGCCUGAUGCAGCGACGCCGCGUGGGGGAUGACGGCCUUCGGGUUGUAAACUCCUUUCGACCGCGAGGAAGCCACCUGGUUGGAAGGGUGGUGACGGUAGUGGUAGAAGAAGCACCGGCUAACUACGUG